rnacentral:rRNA from 1 species
GACGAACGCUGGCGGCGUGCCUAAUACAUGCAAGUCGAGCGGACGAAUCGAAAGCUUGCUUUUGAUUCGUUAGCGGCGGACGGGUGAGUAACACGUGGGCAACCUGCCCUGUAGACGGGGAUAACACCGAGAAAUCGGUGCUAAUACCGGAUAACACGAAAUGUCGCAUGACGUUUCGUUGAAAGACGGCGCAAGCUGUCGCUACAGGAUGGGCCCGCGGCACAUUAGCUAGUUGGUGAGGUAACGGCUCACCAAGGCGACGAUGCGUAGCCGACCUGAGAGGGUGAUCGGCCACACUGGGACUGAGACACGGCCCAGACUCCUACGGGAGGCAGCAGUAGGGAAUCUUCCGCAAUGGACGAAAGUCUGACGGAGCAACGCCGCGUGAGCGAAGAAGGCCUUCGGGUCGUAAAGCUCUGUUGUUAGGGAAGAACAAGUAACGCAGUAACUGGCGUUACCGUGACGGUACCUAACGAGAAAGCCACGGCUAACUACGUG